rnacentral:lncRNA from 1 species
UCGAAGCCUCGAGUGAGUUUCACUCCAUCAUCAACCUCGCCCCUCAGGCAGCGAGCGAGGUAAGGAGUAUGAACUUGCUUCUAUCUUUUUCUCUUUCAUCUUCUUCUUCCUCGCAAGAUUCAUUUGUGAGUGGAUCUGCAAGCCAUUGAGGAGGAGGAUUGACCAACAUGAUGAGUUGGAUCGAAAGAUCCAGGAGGUGGACUGAUACCUUAAGAUCCUCGGACAGCACCAACUCACCCUAAGAGGAGAGCUUCUAUUCACCACUCGCCCUCCUUUCUUAGAG